rnacentral:rRNA from 2 species
AGACCCGAAACCCGGUGAUCUAGCCAUGGGCAGGUUGAAGGUUGGGUAACACUAACUGGAGGACCGAACCGACUAAUGUUGAAAAAUUAGCGGAUGACCUGUGGCUGGGGGUGAAAGGCCAAUCAAACCGGGAGAUAGCUGGUUCUCCCCGAAAGCUAUUUAGGUAGCGCCUCGUGAAUUCAUCUCCGGGGGUAGAGCACUGUUUCGGCUAGGGGGCCAUCCCGGCUUACCAACCCGAUGCAAACUGCGAAUACCGGAGAAUGUUAUCACGGGAGACACACGGCGGGUGCUAACGUCCGUCGUGAAGAGGGAAACAACCCAGACCGCCAGCUAAGGUCCCAAAGUCAUGGUUAAGUGGGAAACGAUGUGGGAAGGCCCAGACAGCCAGGAUGUUGGCUUAGAAGCAGCCAUCAUUUAAAGAAAGCGUAAUAGCUCACUGGUCGAGUCGGCCUGCGCGGAAGAUGUAACGGGGCUAAACCAUGCACCGAAGCUGCGGCAGCGACACUCAGGUGUUGUUGGGUAGGGGAGCGUUCUGUAAGCCUGUGAAGGUGGCCUGUGAGGGUUGCUGGAGGUAUCAGAAGUGCGAAUGCUGACAUAAGUAACGAUAAAGCGGGUGAAAAGCCCGCUCGCCGGAAGACCAAGGGUUCCUGUCC